ACCGAGCUGUUUCCUCCUAAACUAGACGCUUGUAAUAUGGCUUGGCUUGUGUUGGACGUCCAGUAGAUUGCUUCUGCUUCCGAGUUGUAGUCUAUAGCUGCUGGAGGGAGAAACUGCUUGAAUGGAGUGGGCUUCAGUAAAUAGAAAAAAUGUGGAAAGAACUAAAGACAUCACAGCACAGAGUCAACUGCAGUUGUCGGAGGGAUUUUCGGGAUUGUGCGGGCACACGCAUCGGACGCUAUUCGAUGGUGAGGGAAGACAGAUAUGGCUGCGAGGACAACCUCCGUUGUUCACCGAACACGCAGUACUAACUGUAACACAUGCAGACAGUCACAAUAGACAUGCAGCAUUGGUCAUUUAAAAAUUUACCGCUGU